ACGGCGAAUGCCGAGAAGGACUACAUUGGUAAUGCGGCUGUCGCGGGUUCGAAUCCCGCCUGUCUCGAAAGGGAUAGUAGCUCAGUCUGGUAGAGCACCGGGCCCUUCGGGGCCGUCCUUCCCACUCUUGUCGCCGUGAC
rnacentral:Y_RNA from 1 species